UACGUAGGGUGCGAGCGUUAAUCGGAAUUACUGGGCGUAAAGCGUGCGCAGGCGGUUCGUUAAGUUCGAUGUGAAAGCCCCGGGCUCAACCUGGGAACUGCAUUGGAAACUGGCGAGCUUGAAUGCGGCAGAGGGGGGUGGAAUUCCGCGUGUAGCAGUGAAAUGCGUAGAGAUGCGGAAGAACACCGAUGGCGAAGGCAGCCCCCUGGGCCGACAUUGACGCUCAGGCACGAAAGCGUGGGGAGCAAACAGG
rnacentral:rRNA from 1 species